GCCGGUUUUGUAGGGUUCCUUCGCAAUCUGCCUUCCUCGUUCGCGUUUGGACUGCUAUGUCUUCUUCCCUUCGCGUGGUGGUGUUGGUUUGAUUCCUCGCUCUACAUGAAGCAAUGGUCGACGGUGGGGGGCCGCGGUAUGGCGAAACGACGGGCUCCACAGUCCAGGGGUUCCGCUUUAGAAGGAUAUGCUGUCUGAGUUUUAUAGGACCAUUUUUCCUGGGAGGUCUAUCUUAUGUCCUGGGGUGGAUGGUAAGUGGAUGCAAAUGGCGUGGAGGGAUUCGAAGAAUAAGAUUGACUGCGGGGUGUUUCUUAUGCGUCAUAUGGAGACAUACCUCUGUUAGGGAGUGAAGAAGUGGGACUACGGGCUUGUAAAGGGUGACACUUCAGAGUUGCAUAAGUUGAUGAUGAGGUUUAUGAAGGAGCUUUCAAUUUCUGAGUACAAUAUUCACAUAUCUAGGAAUUUAAGCCGGGCAUACUAGUACAUCAAUACUCCACUUAUUCGUUCAUAGGGGAUGGGUUUCCCACUGUUAUCGGUUUUUAUCUAGUUGUUGCUAAUGGGUUAAUUAAGUACUGAUUAAUGUUUUUUGUAUUUGGGUUUUCUAAACAUCCAUUCCACUGGUUGGUGACACUAUAUGUUUUUGCGAAAUAUAGACAGUGAUGGUUUUUUGUAAUACACAUAGUGGUGGCUGAUUAUUUCAUUUUACGUUGUCGUUG